CGCUCUAUAGCCCAACAGGCAGAGGCACCGGAUUUAGAUUCCGGGUGAUGGGAGUUCGAAUCUCUCUAGAGCGACCU
rnacentral:tRNA from 1 species